UAUCAGAAAGGUUUAUUUGCGAUUGUUUGAGAGGAGGGAGGGGGGGAAAAACCCCUGUGUAGCCACAGGCAGACAAGCUCAGUGCUCAGGAACAUAAUGGCUGGAGCCCGCGGGCCCAUAUGCUCGCCAUCCUGGGAGGUGGAAGGCCAGCUCUGAUCACAUCCAGCUGCUCAGGAUACAACUGAUCAGGUCCUCACUACCAUGUUUUUGGGCAAGAUACUUUUAGAAGAACAUCUCAACCAGAUCAUGCUCUCAAAGACCUGAGCCUUCACUGAUGGCAGGCAAUAAUUUUGCAUUUUGGAGUAUCUUCUUACUCUUAUGCAUGGCAACAUUUAACAGCACACCACCAUCUGCCACAGAAGCACAGACCACUAAUGGCAUCAUAAGAAUAAGUGUGUUCCUAUCUAUAUUUUAUUACUCAUGCCAUUUCAGGGUUUUGCAGAUAAUUAACUCUGAAUACUUAUUCAUCUAUUUUCCCUCAAAAAUGUUACCAUUCCACUUAAAACCCUUCUUUGUGGUCCAAGCAGCAGAACACUUAAUCAGACCGAGCAGGGCUGCAGAGCAGCUGUGAAGAGGCUGGAAACUCUGAAAACUCUAAACCCAAGCCAUGGGAAGGGGACUGCUCUCAUCCAGCCUCCCCUUGCUCCCCUCUCCUAUAGCUUGGGGGAGACAGUAGAGCUCCUGAUCCCCCAGGGACAGGGAUACAACCCCCUCAAACCAGAGUGUUUCUCCAACACUGUGUCAGCCCAGACACACUGACUCAAUCCAACACACCACUGAACCAAAAUAUUUUGAUUUGAUAAAACAAACGCAACAACUGUUUAGACUUUGUCUGACCAGACUCACAAUGGAGGUUUCCUUUUCAACUUCCCUAUUUAUUCUCAUCUCUACCAUCCCACAGUUAGGUGAGCAAAGCCAAAGCCAUUCCCUUCUCCUUUCUCCCCUGGAUCCCCAGGGAAUGGCCAGGUCUCCUGGACUGUCUCCCACUCCUGCAUGGAGCCAACCCAACAGGGCUGUGGAUGGCUUCAGGAAACCCUACACACAGCUAUAAUGAGAAGUUAUUAUUCCAGCAUUUUGCUUUCCACUUGUUAUACAGGCACUUCCCACAAACCCAGUAUGGGAGUGAAAGGCCUCACUUCGAUUGUGGGUUUACAGUGUCUUUCCCAACACAUCCUUGUCUCCCUGUUACAACAAAACCACCCUGCACCUCUCUCAGCCACACCCAACCUCCAGCUCCCCGUGCACAACCCCAGUGCUCGUGGUGGGAGGUCCAUUCUCACAUCAGACUAAAGCCAGGCAGAAUCAAUUAAAGCAAAAAGGACGGGGUCUGCUGAGAUGACAGAAGGCAUUUGGGGCAAAAUCACAGCUGAAUGCAGGAGAGAUGCCUUGCCCAGGCUCUCUUGUUCCUCCAUGGAAGCUGGGGCACAACAGCAUCUCUCCAGAUGAAUCCAGACUGCCAGUCCUACCUGAUAUUUUUUUGCAGGGGCUCACGGUGCUAAAUAACAAGGAAGAUCCAAGUCAGAGACAGAUAGAAGAGGAUAUGAAUGUAGGAGAUGAUCAGAGGAGGGACUUCUGGUGUUCUGAAAUACUUGCACAGCUUUGCCAAAUCAUGGCUUGUGCAGCCUCCCCUGGAGCCACUCCUGGAUGAAUUCACAUCCCAUUAUCUCCUGGAUUUGGGCUGGGGAGAGGAAGGUGUGUCUGCUCAUGGAUGUGGAGCUGCUCAGGAGCAAGUGCUGCUUCAGAGACUGUCAGACAAAUCCUCAAACUCUGAUUUUCCAACAUGUGUGAAACCUGUCACAUCAGCAUCUCUUGGAACUCUAAGCUGGAGACAAAAGCCAUGGAAAAGACUCUUCAGAAGGCAGUAAGCCAUCAGUUCACCUUUU